rnacentral:rRNA from 1 species
CCUACGGGUGGCAGCAGUGAGGAAUAUUGGUCAAUGGACGAGAGUCUGAACCAGCCAAGUAGCGUGAAGGAUGACUGCCCUAUGGGUUGUAAACUUCUUUUAUAAAGGAAUAAAACGAGGCACGUGUGCCUUUUUGCAUGUACUUUAUGAAUAAGGAUCGGCUAACUCCGUGCCAGCAGCCGCGGUAAUACGGAGGAUCCGAGCGUUAUCCGGAUUUAUUGGGUUUAAAGGGAGCGUAGAUGGGUUGUUAAGUCAGUUGUGAAAUUUUGCGGCUCAACCGUAAAAUUGCAAUUGAUACUGGCAGUCUUGAGUACAGGUGAGGUAGGCGGAAUUCGUGGUGUAGCGGUGAAAUGCUUAGAUAUCACGAAGAACUCCGAUUGCGAAGGCAGCUUACUAAACUGCCACUGACAUUGAUGCUCGAAAGUGUGGGUAUCAAACAGGAUUAGAUACCCGAGUAGUC